AGACAGGGAGAGGCAGGGAGGUGGAUCCUUACAUCAGCAGGGCAAGAGAAGGACUGUGUGUAUGCUGGAAACAAAUUCACAGGAAAGCAGGCUUCAUGAGUCCACUGGCUUAUGGAUCCUACCAGAACUCUGCAAAACCUAUUUGCUGAAAAGUACGCCAAGAGAAAUCACUCAUGAGCCUCGCCAGCCUGCACGCCUCCCAAGCUGCUCUCCCUCCUGCUGCCUCUGCUCAUGCCAGGUGACAGCCCAGCUCAGGAAGAAGCUUCAUUCUUCCAACCCUUUCUCAGAAGAACUCCUGCCCACACCAGAGAAAACCUGGUUUCAGACCCUGGUAUCCUCAGGGUGGUUGUUCUCCUGUGAGGAACAGCUGGAUGUGACAACGCAGAUGCUGGAAGCUUCCUGAGUGGUGGUAAGUGGCCAUGAUGUUGUAGGGAAGUUAAGGCAGAAACUGAAUUUGUUGAAAAUCUGCCAGAAAUUACCUACAUGAAGAUUAUAACUACUUGAAAAAAAGAGAUGUGGAUGGAAAUGGCAGGUGUGUAGAAAUCUGGUGUUUCUCUUUGUGAUUUGCAAAGCAGCACCUGGAGACCAGCUGACAACAUGAAAAAGAUCCUUAGAUCUGGCUUGCCAGAAAAGGAGGCAGAAAUCAGCAACCUGAAUUAUGUGGGCUGCUCCGAAAGUAAUGCUUCCUAUUUAUUUCUAUGGAGACUACAACAGGUACAAAGACAACAAUAACGUUACUCAAUAGAGCAAAUUCUCAGCUGCAAAACACUCUUUUCCAACACUGUCAUCAACACUAGCUAUGGAUUUUCAUCAGCCAUGAACAAGAACCUGCACGCUGCAGUCAUAAAAAUCUGCACCGGUGGAGGUAAGCCACUGUCAGUGUCACCACUGCUGAAACACACCACCCACCACCUCGCUGUGCUCACAUCCACUGUUUGGUCUCCAUAAGUAUUUAGGAAGUGUUGAUGAAUGUCAGUGGGUGCCGUUUUUUUUCCACAUGGAGGAAUGUAACUACACACCUUUGCUUCCGACACACUUCCAUGUCACAUGCCAUCCUGUCAGACUGCUUCUCUGCUGCCAUCUUGUCACGUGGCAACAACACGUAAUGGAACACUGUUGGGAAGGUUCAGCCUCAACUGCCAUACCACCAAUAUCCACCUCUGAUGCUGUGGGUCAACAAUAAAACAGGAGGCACUACCUUCGGAACAGCUCUUGUAUGUGAGGUCCAGCAGGUGCUGGCACCAGUAAAAAUAAUGGAAAUUUCAAAUAAAUAAGGUGAGCUGAGAAGGCCUCCUUAGAACACAUGUAAAAAAUUUCAUUAUCAUUAAACUUGGAAGCCAAGCACAGCUUUUCAUUUUCAACUCCCUGCAAGAUUGAUUUGACCUGUAUUUAGUGAGGGACUUCAGCCUUUUGUAGCCACCUGGAGCAGGGGACAGGCAAAGGCCAAGGCAUUUCCCUGUCCAGGUGGCCCUCAUAAAUAUCUCAGUGGAAUUUAUUUUCUUUCAUUUACUUUGGCAUUGCUUGGGCACUCCUUGAUUAAGGAGUGGUGUGUAGGAACUGACAUGCCCAGAGAUAGACAGCCACAUCUGCUAACCAUUUGGAUUAAUUAUUACACCUGUACCAUAAAACACAUGUUAAUAAAAGGCUGGUGAACAGGUUCAAGUUGCAGUUUUAAAAAGGGCCCAAAGAAAGCAAAAUGCAAGCCAUACACAAGAAGAGGCCAAACCUUUUGCUGAUAAGAUGCUGUAGGCUCCAACCACAUACAAGGAAGAGACAAUGUUAGAUACACUAAAUAUAUAUAUAUAUAUAUCACACAAGCAAACAAAAUAGGAACGUGUGUAUCCUGGCAAACUAUGCCUUUGUAGACCAUUGGCUAGAAGGUGAACAACAGUACACAUUCUUUCUUUCCUUCUUUCUUUUCUGUUAGAUGUAAAAGGAAAAAAAUCAUUAAUCACUCUGCAGGAUACAGCACUUAAAUGGGUAAAGUUGCUGAAGGGGUCUGGUUAGAAUCAGCCGAUUUUUCAUUUCCUUUCAGUGGGGACAGUGUGGUGCUCUGGAAUCUCUGGAGACCAGGAGCAUGAAUGCAGGUAUUGAAUUUUCAGGAGGAGACAAUUAAGGCCAAAUAUGUGAGAUACAAUCAUAUUUAAAUUAAUUCAGGUACUUCAACUGAAGACUUAAACCCUCUGCCUUCUUUAAGAUGCAUAUCUGGGAGAGCUUUACUGAGCUGGUAUUAAUCAUUCUAGGUUUGUAUCAGUUACAGUGGAAAGCAGUGGAGCUCUGUAUUUAUUAUUUAUUCUAUUGAACUGUCUAUGGAAAAACAUUUUGCUGAAUAAACUCUUCAAAUAGCCUUUGCUAUUCGAGAAGGCCUCCUUAGAACACAUGCAAAAAAUUAAUUAUCAUGAGGAAGCCAAGCACAGCUUUUCAUUUUCAACUCCCUGCAAGGAGCAAGGUGCCAAUUCUGUUUAGUGUUAGAUAACUUCUGACCACAUCAUGACUUGUAGAUGGACUGAAAAGGAAUAGGUAUCACAGGACAACGGUGAAGGCAAGUGUAGAUCUCACUUUGGACUGCAUCUGUAGUUGACCCUUAUCUGUUAUUUUUGGAGGCUCCUUUGGCAUAUUAGUACUCAACACAGCAAAUAUCACUAAGGAGGAGGUGCAUCAUGCUGCUCUGAUGACCGGUACUGUUAGACAACCAUGCGUUGUUAAUGAAAUCUUUCUAAAUGAAGAAAGCCAGAAAAUGCUUCUCAAGCCUUCACAACUAAGACUUGACUACAAACCCAUCACUUCAGUGCAUUUGGUCUUGACCUUUAAAUGUAGCAGUCACAUGAUCCAGGAGAAAGCUGAGGUCUCUAUUCUGCCACCAAACCCUGCCAAAGCCGUGGGUUCAGCUGAAGAGCUACUGCAUGCUUGGUGGAUUGACCGUGGUUACAAAUACCACUUGCAGGUAAGGCUUUCCAUUCACUGAUCUCUAUUUAGCCCAUGUCUUCCUGAGAGGAUGGACUCAGAAACAGUAUGGCUGCUGGGUUACCUGUAAUCAUUUAAUUUUAGACAUCAUUAUUUUAUGUUUUGAAGAUAGCAUAGAUUUCUGCAUCAGAUACACCACCUUAUCACUACCAGGCUAAAUAUGAACCCAAAAGAUUGGCAGAUCAGCCAGGCAGAAGAAGCUUUCUUCCAAGGAAUGCUAUUCAGCUUCACAAGGAAGAUGGGGCUUUCUCAUCAUCACAGCUCCUGCUCCAGACUCUGCUAAAUGAGCUGCAGUCAAGGACAGUUUAUAAGACAUAGUAAGUCUUGCUAUGGGAUGGACGAGCUAAAGCAGUUUGCCCAGCCACAGCAUGAAGAAUACACUUUCAAGGCUAUAUUUCAUGAAACGGGACCAAAAAAAGAUGAAGUUAAAUGUCUGUCUCACUUGCCUAAAGAAAUAUCUUAUGGAAACGUGACAGCCUCCUAGGAAUGGGGUUACAGCAGUAUGGAAUAUACAGUGAUACAAUUUUAAGAGAUAGCCCACAGUAAAUCUGAGAAAGUUAUUCAUUCUUAUACAUCUGCUUUACUGUUUGAAAGUUACUUUCUCCUUCAAUCCCAGUCUAAGACUUUGUACUCUCUACCUGCACAUGUUCAGUUUGUUCUGUGCACAACAGAGAAACGCAAAGAAUUUCCAAAAAUAAGGUUGUAGUUAAUGCCAGGUCAUAUGUACUAAAGCCCUAACAGAGGAUAGCACUGCUUUCCUAUUAUUACCAUUUUUUAAUGGUCUAAUUUUUCCCAGUGGAUACCAGUACAUGCAGAGGUUGUAGCAGAUGAAAAAAAAAAAAAGAA
rnacentral:lncRNA from 1 species